GAUGAACGCUGGCGGCGUGCCUAAUACAUGCAAGUCGAGCGAACAGACGAGGAGCUUGCUCCUCUGACGUUAGCGGCGGACGGGUGAGUAACACGUGGAUAACCUACCUAUAAGACUGGGAUAACUUCGGGAAACCGGAGCUAAUACCGGAUAAUAUAUUGAACCGCAUGGUUCAAUAGUGAAAGACGGUUUUGCUGUCACUUAUAGAUGGAUCCGCGCCGCAUUAGCUAGUUGGUAAGGUAACGGCUUACCAAGGCAACGAUGCGUAGCCGACCUGAGAGGGUGAUCGGCCCCACUGGAACUGAGACACGGUCCAGACUCCUACGGGAGGCAGCAGUCGGGAAUCUUCCGCAAUGGGCGAAAACUUGACGGAGCAACGCCGCGUGAGUGAUGAAGGUCUUCGGAUCGUAAAACUCUGUUAUUAGGGAAGAACAAAUGUGUAAGUAACUAUGCACGUCUUGACGGUACCUAAUCAGAAAGCCACGGCUAACUACGUG
rnacentral:rRNA from 1 species